GGACCCGCCACCGCCACCGCCCGCCCGACGGGACGGCCCCGCCGCCCGCCUCGGCACCGGUACCGGCACCGCGGACCCCCGCGACCGGCCACGUCGGAAGGCAGCGGCUGCUCGCCGGCCAGGACGGAGGUAGCUGCUGGCCUCCCAUCCACCCUGGCUGUGGGACGCCCUGUAUGACCUGUUGGACAUUGUUGCAUUUAGCCAAGAGCAUUUGGUAGCUGAUGGCUGGAUCCUAAGGACACCUUUUCCCUGGAGAGCAGGGCCUUGGUGACCAUGUAGAGACCAGCAUGCUGUGGACAGGCAUACCCGUGUGGCUCAUGAACCACCUCUGAGCAGCAGUGUCUUGACCCAGCAAUGUACGUUCACUUCAUCUGUCUUACAGGUUAUGUUUGUACAUCUCAGUCUGAUUUAGAUUUUUUCCAUCAAAAUGUAACUGUUGUCUAAAGUGUGUAUAUGUGAUGCUUUAUAAAGCCUUUUCUUCCAGCCAACACACUACCCAUCCUGCCAUCUCCGUUUUCUAUUUAAGAAUUUGAUUAUUCCUUCUUAAAUAUUCUACUUUAUACUUGCCUUUACUGAAGUGACUCCUGUUAUUUUCAGACUAUUUCUUUAAGUUAUCAAGACCAUUUUGAAUUCUAAUAUUUUCAAAUGUGCCUGCAGUCCCUCACAGAUUAAUGCCACCUUCAAAUUUAAUAAUUAUGUUCUCAUUCCAUCAUCUAAGUCAUUAAUGAAAACAUUGAAUAACAUCUGCUACAGGAACAAUCACUGCAAAAUCUCAGCUGAUGAAUCACUUCAACUUGACAAUUAAAUGUGAGCAGUUUUAAGCUACCCUUGUACUGAGUCUGUAGAAUCUGCCUUUGGGCCAUGCUUCCGUAACUUGUUUAUGAGUAUGUCGUGUGAGACCAGUGUCAUAAACCUUACUGAAGGCACAUGACAUAUACUGUUCCUGCCUCAUCCACAAAACCUUUUACCCUGUCAAGAAGGAAAUUGGAUUGUGUUAACGUGAUUUAUUCUUGACACGUUCCUAUUAACUUCAAUUUUCUUCAGCCUUAUCAUCUAGAUGCUUGCAAAAUAUGUGUUUGAUUAUUUGUUUUGGGAUUUUUUCCAGAAAUAGAAGUUCAGAUCAUGGCUCCGUUAUUUCCUGACUCCCACCACUCCCUCCCUUUACUCAAAUGAAAGGCUUUUUCUCUGCCUGGGGACAGGAUUUGCAAAAGCUCUCCAUGGUGGCCAAUAUCUUCAGAGAGUAGCCUUAGGUCAAUGUUUCCUUUGGGCUUUUGAAAAAUCUCUUCUCCAUCUGCACAGAAGACCAUGAAAACCAGGGAAGAUGCUGUCCCUGCACUGUCUUUCUUUGAUACUACCCAUUUUUGUGGCAUGCAAAUCACGAGGGCUUUUCCUCUCUGCUCCCAGCCAGGUGAUGGCCUACUGCUGUAACAGGAAUAGAGAUGCUCUGCUGCAAAUGUGCCAAGCCCACUCAUUCACCCACCGCUGUGUUACGAAUGUGCGCUGUGCACUGGCAGGCUCACCAGCUGUGCUCAGGUUCAGCAGAAGCCCAUUAGGCUGAUUUUAGAAUAACUUGCUUAUCGGUUAGCUUCUUCUGGAGAGGACUCUGAUGCUGAGAAUUAGUGAUGGGUGAUGUAAUUUGCAUCUUUCAGGAGGACAAUGAGAGACAAAUUAACAGCACUGUGAUACCGUUAAGUAUUAUGAUGCUAAUUUUUCAUCUAAAGGGUCAGAGGGUUUCAGGCAGCUGUGAAAGGGUGUCUUUCUGUUCUCCCUCACCCUCCCACUCCCCAUUUAAUUUUAAUCGGCAGUGGCAGCGGAGCACAUGUCAGUGCUGGGAGCACUAGGAAGCUAAGGUCCCUUUGCAGUCUCUCUCUGCCUUCCCUGCCUGUUCUGGGCAUGAGAUUUACAAUGUGGCCAUGAAGCCAUAUUCACACCUAUUCACACCCUGGUGAGACCCCAUCUAGAAUAUUGUGUCCAGUUCUGGGCCCCUCAGUUCAAGAAGGACAGGGAACUGCUGGAGAGGGUCCAGCCUAGGGCAACAAAGAUGAUUAAGGGAGUGGAGCACCUCCGUUAUGAAGAAAGGCUGAGGGAGCUUGGUCUCUUUAGCUUGGAGGAGACUGAGGGGUGACCUUAUUAAUGUUUAUAAAUAUAUAAAGGGUGAGUGCCAUGAGGAUGGAGCCAGGCUCUUCUCGGUGGCAAACAAUUAUAGGGCAAGGGGUAAUGGGAUCAAACUGGAACACAAGAGGUUCCGCUUAAAUUUGAGAAAAAACUUCUUCUCAGUGAGGGUGACAGAACACUGGAACAGGCUGCCCAGGGGGGUUGUGGAGUCUCCUUCCCUGAAGACAUUCAAAACCCACCUGGACAUGUUCCUGUGUGACCUCAUCUAGGCAUUCCUGCUCUGGCAGGGGGAUUGGACUAGAUGAUCUUUUGAGGUUCCUUCCAAUCCCAAACAUACUGUGAUACUGUGAUACACCAUAUCAUGGUGAUGCUUGUGAUCUGUUUGGGUACCCAGAAGCAGCCUCACAAGGUCAGAGCACUGAGCCUGCCCCUGGUCUUGCUUUCGACAGAUGCCUGUGGUGACCAUGAGCUUCUGGAGCAAACUUCAGCAUGGCCCUAGUAAGCCUAAAAUAAAGGUUUAACCUUCAGUGGUGGCUACUGACAACUGAUAGCCACCAAACACAGCCUGACACAGGCAAGCUGGAAUGGCAGUGGGCAGAGAGUAGCUGUAUCACAACAGAUCUACCCAUAAGGCAUAACAUAUAUAGGCCCCUAAAAUUAAUGUAAUGUGGAAAGAGAGGAGCAGCAGGGAAGGAAGGCAGUUGUGCACCAUGGAGAGGUCAGCCUGCUGUGUGCAUGCGUCCAUCUGAAACCCUUUCAUGCUAGGUAUGCCUUGAGGAAAACCGGUCUAUGCAAGUGGCUUCAGGCACAGUCAGUGGCAUAUGUGAACAAUAGUCCAGAUGCCAUGGCUGAGAUGAAAGCCUUUAUUAGUCAGCACCGUUCAGACACACACAGCUGAGCAGCUCUGGGGUUAGAAACUGAAAAGCCCAGGGCAUAUGGGGAGGACAGCCUCUUCUUUUAACCACUCCCCAGCCUGACAGAUUGCGGCAUGAAAGGGAGUCAGUCACUGCUGAAUUGCCAGAGCAGGCGGUGACUGUGGGCAGUGGCGGGGAGGGAUAAUCCCCCAGGAACAAAGAGCAAACUCUCCUUGUUCCCUGGUGCUGGUGGCACAGCUGAUGGUACAGCAAGAUGAAGGUGCCAGCAUGGGCAUACUGCUGAGCAUCCCUGCCACUGUGCCCACCUGUGCUUCUGUGCCACCGCCUGGGAAGCACAGCUCAGGUCUUUUCCACCCAACAGCCAUGGAAAAGGAAGCACUGCCAAAGCUGUGGAGCACGCAGGUGGGACCAGGUGACAGAAAACAUAGGGACAGGCACUGCUACCUCAUCUCAAGAUGGGCCUCUUUGGCUUGUCAUAAAUGAUUUGCAAGUAGAUAAGAGAAGGAAUCCUCUUGUUCAAAAGCACUUUGUAGCACAGUUCUUCCCCUUUCCUACACACUCCUAGGACAUAGUAAGGACAGCAGUGGGCACAGGGGUGUAGUGAAUGUGGGACAUCUAUUUUGCGUUGUGGAGCUUGGUAUCUGAUCUUCACUGGGUGGCAAGGAUACCUCCCCAUCACCGCUGGGACAUGUGAAACUGGUCCUGUUUGGGAGGGCUGGAUACGGGAUGGGAAAGGGCUAUGCAGGCAGUGAGGGAGAGGUGGAGAGGAUGGGUGUAGGGAAAUGUCUGGCAAAGUGCAAGAUCGGGCAAGGCUGGGGGGUCAAUCUGGUGCUGAGAAGCUGGAGGAGAAGCUGUGCAUGAUAGAGGCCAGUAAGAUGUGGGAACGGGAGAAGGGUGAGGGGAGGGGUGUUAUGCUAUUUGGAAUUAAACCUUUGGCAUACCUUUGAGUUGUCCCAUCCAGCUUCUGGCGAUGCCUGUGAGAGCCUUACCCUCUGGGGCCAGCAUUGCUGAGCCCCACUGGUGUGUGUGCUGGAAGGGCUAACCCUCUAACCACACUUGUAAUUACUGCUGGUGAUAAAUAGAUUUUCUGCGCUUAAAUAAAGCCCUAUUAAGUUGAUAUGAAUCAGAUUCAAUAAAUUAUUCCAAAUUAAUUUAGGCAACAGCCUCUCUAUGAAAAGUCCAGUUAAUGAGAGAGAGAUUUGUGUCCAGAGGGUGAUGGGUGGGUGGAGGAGGGGGCUGUGCCAUGCACAAUGGUCUUUCAGUGUCAUAUUCUUCACAGAGGGGAUUUUUAUUUAUUCUUCUCUUUUUUUAUUCUAGGAUGAUACAAAGGAGGAGAAAAGAACUCCUUUUCUGCCCCCAAACUGGAAAUGAAAGUUGCAGCUGUGCAAGCAGCACCCGCCUUGAUUUGUCUGAGAGAAAGGCCCCGGUUAAAUGAGGGGAGGCUCCCAGCAACUAACAAAUUAUAUUGCAGGGGAGGAAAGAUUCAAGCCUCUCUUGUUUGGUGCUGCUUCAUUUAUUGAGCAGUAUUAACCCUUCUGUCUGCUGCUUUGUUUGCUGGCUUGAAGCCAUCCCCAGAGAGGCUCCCUGGAUGAGCUCGUGGUGACCUCACCCUGGUGCAGCUCCUCAGAGGGGUCGAGGGGGCACAUAUAGCCUCCAAAUAACCCCAGCAUCUGCUGCACCGCCUCAUUAGGGGACUGAGAGUUAACGCUGUAUGGCAGCCCCUAUGUGCCCUACAUUGGUAAUUAGCUUUCUGAGGGGAGGACUGGGACCAGCUGAAAGGGAAAGAAGAUUCAUCACCAGCAGUGGGGAGGGAAAGGGUUUCUUUCCAUUGCUAACCAUGCUGGCUUCCCAUAGGGUCUGCCUUUAACAUCUUCCUUUUGAUUUUCUUUUGCUAAGCAGUAAGCUGAGCUAUGGAGAUAAUUUGUCUCCUGAUGCUUUCAGCUCUGUCUUUGCCAAACAGUGGAGUAUGAGAUGCUUAUGGGUUCAUUAGAUGAUUUAGAUGAUUCAGGGGACCCUAGUAUUUCUGCAGGGGAAAAUGUGAGGUGAAUGUUUCUAAUGGGUAGGUAGAACCUCCAAGCCGAGUAUACAGAGAGAUGUGGGAUUCUGGGCUGGAGAAGAACCUCCCAACCUCCCACAUCCCAGAAAAAAAGAACUGGACAAGAAGAAAAGAAAAAGAGUUAAAAAACAAACUAAAAAUAGAAACUACUUGAGUGCUUACAAAUUAAAACAAAUGAGGAUAUUCUGUGAUUUAAAAAAAUGAACACGGGUAUUGAGAAGUAAAAUGCGAAGAGGCAUGCAUUAUGGAAAUAAACAGAGUGAGUCAGGGUUAAAAUAGGUAAAUAUUGAGAGCGUGCAAUGUUUAACAUUUACUAACUAUGAGAGCAGGAAGGGAUUAAGACUCAAGCAGCAAUGAAAAAAGAGCAUUUUAAUGAACAGCAAACCUUCUUUCCCCCUGCAAUUAAGCAGCUUUAGCUGCAGAACGGGACAGUCAAUGACUGUGAGACACGCAAGGAAGAGGAAAGCAAAGCGACCAAAUGAGAUGAACAAUCAGGCGUAUUUGGAGUUGAACUUAAUUGUUGCUUGAGGUAAUAAACAUCCAACUUUGAGGUCAGACCCUAAUGCUUUUGUUUUCCAUUUUAUUUUCCUUGGAGAGUAGUUACACAAGUCAGUGUAAGGGUAGUGGCUCACAAGGCUGAAGUUGGCACCCACAGUCCUCCAGCGGCUGAGAUGCCGUGUCCCCCCCGCCCUCCCCCCAGCCUGUGUCUAAUCUGGUUGUUGCCCAGGAGGCUCUUCUGGACUGUGAGUUGUUCAGAACUCUCCCUAUUUGUCUGUGCAGCCUCUGAGCUGCAACUGGAGCAGCAAAUCGUAAGAAUUACUGGUUUGAAACAGCAAACUUGUCCUCUGUGAGAGUUAAAAUGCAAUUAUGUAGCUAUGUACAAUGAGGAGGGUUGAUGCUCAUAUUGGAAAUAGGGAAAACCACAAUAAUGGGACUGAAUUCAAGAAAAAUGCCAUGAUUUUUGACUUAUGAAAGGGAAAACAGCAUUCCUUGUCAGUCACUCACUCACUUCAGGGAUCCUGAGCCUUUUACCCUAUUCUGUACUGUGUGUGAGGGAUUAAAGAGCUUUUCCACUAUAUUGAAUAUUAUUCUCCUUCUUUAGAAUUGAAAGAGAAAGAAAAUCCAGCUGCACUUUCUCUUCCAGGAUUUAAGUGGGACAUGUUGAGGUAGUCUCUGCUGUGAUUUAUAUGCACCAAUCAUAUCUGAAGGGGAGUAUGAAUAACACUUGUCAAGAAGAGACUGUGGCACAUCCACCUCUCUCCUCAUUAUUGAUCCCAUGGGCAGAGAGGUUUUGUCAUAAGCCUCUUCAGCCUCGUGGCCUUCCGUUGAGGGGCUAGAACAGUGCCAGGCAGGGAUAUGACAACCCAAGGAGGGAGCUCUACGGUCACUCCAGGCCAAUUCUCCUGCUGGGACCAGGGGAAACUUCUCAGUGCAUCACAAGCCCCAAAAUACCCUGAGCUUCACUGCACAUGACCAGUCUCCUUGGUGCCCCCAGAUUUGUGUGUGUGACAUGACAGGAUAUUUUUUUGGUAAGAAGCAUAUACAAGACCCCAAAAAGCAGUCCCUUAGCACCAGUAGGCCAUUAUAACACACCAGAGGAGAUUUCUUGCUCCUUCUUAUUAUCACCACUUCAAGCAGUUUGAUAAACAGUGAAUUGAGGAAAAACUUUAUGUCUGUGGCCUAAACCUUCCAAGGGCAUGGGAGCAACAGCUCAUAUGAAGACCAGGUUUAGUUCCUGGCAUUCAUGAUUAAGGAUCCAACAACCCAUCGAGGACUGAGGGAUCACAUCUGCACCAGCUCCAUCACAACCCUCUGGUAUGCAGCACUUCACAGUGAUUACUCAGUAUGCUGUCAAACCUGGUCCAUGCCCCCAAAAUAAUACUAACAUCACGAGCAGGUACAUUGUAUGCUCUAGAAAAAGCACAAGAAGUACAUCUAGAGCACCAGUUCCUCUUGUUUCUACCCAUCCAACCCCUUAUAUCAAUGCUUUCCUCACAAAACUGGAGUAGGAUAAUUAGAUGUUCAGACAAGGCUCCUGUUAGUUCCACCCCCCUCCUUCAAUAUUGGAGUAGAACACAUGUUGUUUUGAGAGCUCUGGAUUAUUCUGAUCAUGACAGAAGGGUCUUGGAGGAGCACUGGGUCAGACCCUUUAUAGGCUCCAUGUAAUGAUAUUUGUCACAGAGGGAUCCAGUAGUUCUCCAACACAAAAAUAUGAGAUGGAUUAUGUGACAGGAAUAACACGGGAGUUUUCUUAGACUGACAGAAAAAUCCCCAUUUAUGACUCAUUUAGUCACAUGCUGUCGAAUAUUUUCACCUGAGUCUAGGCCUUGGUGCCAGGCCAGGUGUCAGCUGUCCUUGCUGCAUCCACCAAGGUGAUUACUGAGCAAUGCCCUGAGCUGCCUAGUCCCGCUCAUAAUGAUAAGCCUCCAGCGGUACUGAAUACCCAGAUAGGUACAACCCUUCAAGACGAGUUUGUGCUUCUAAACUAUCUGUUAAAAAGGUGAAAUUCAGCAAAUCUCAUGGUGCGGUUCCCUCUCUUUAUAUGGCACAAAGGCAUCAUUCUGGGUACAGGUUGAGUCAUUGCUCUUUUUUAAUACCAAAGGAAUUUACACGGCAAAGUACUAGUCGUCCCGAUCCUGUGUAUGUAGCAUCACAACUAGCAGCCAUGGGGUGGUCGUUUUGUCACAAAAGAGAGAAGUGUAACACCAAGGUGAAGAGUAAGCAGUGAGAGGAGCUGAAUGCUGUAAAAAUGUGCAUCUGGUUUUGAGAUCAAUACUGCUGUACAUAAAAGCACCAUGUUAUCAGCUGUCCUGGCUUAGUAUGUUUUCCACACAUUGCUGUGCUGUUCUGACUUAUGCUUUUGGGGUCACCCAGGAAACCCUGCUGGAGACAGCAAGUCAAAAGCUUAGGCAAGACUCAAUGCUAGCCCAUUAAGAUGUGUGGUUUUCCUCUUCCUGGAUGCUAGAUCAGCCUAGCUCAGCUGUCAUGCAGUGUAAGAAAGUGGCUUGUCCCCAGGCCUCUGGAGAAUAUGCGUUGGAAGGAAAACAUGAUGCAAGUAAGGAUGACUCUGUACAGGCUGGUUAGGAUUCAAAAGCUGAGGUCAAUGUUGUCUUGAAUUCAGCUCCAUCUCCAAGACUACUAGUGAGUUGUCCUGGACAGUUUCUACCUCGUCCCUUAGAGAAGAGAGUGUUUAGAGGGAAGGAGAUGUAUUAUUAUUUCCACAGAGAUAAGAUCCAGGCCACCUGGCUCAGCUACAGCAUGGCUCUUUUGCACUCAGUAUUAAGCAUGCAGAGACCAUCUCAGGCUAAGCAUACAGCUUUUUGAUCCAGUCCCAACAAUGCUGCUGCAAACCCUGCUGGGAAUGCAGCCUGGCUGUAUCUGAGGAGAGGGAACACUGGGACCCUUCUGGUGGCUGCUACUGCUCUGUUAAUGAGGCAGUGCCACCCUGAAACCAAUGUUUCUCUAAUGAGAAGGAGUACAGGACACAUGGUGAGAUAUCUGGAUAAGGAAGAGGAUACAGACUCAGUAGCUUCAGGUUACCGUAUCACCUUAGCCAGAAAUUUGCAAUGUUAACAGGUCGACUUUACAUAAUUUGUAGGUAGGAGGUUCAAAGAGUGUCUUUCCCAUCUUCACCAGCAGCAUCCUCUGAGUUGACCAUCUCUUUUUGUGCCACAUCUUCACUGCCAUCACUGUGUGGUGUGUUCUCAGGGCCAAGGAAUGGGGUCCUUUGCCCAUCUUCCCUCCUGUGCUGAGGGACACCCUGUGCAACUGGCUUGUGCACGAUUGCUUGAGUCGCUUUGGUAGCUCAGAUCCAUUCCUCACCAUGAUAUCACGUUGCUGCUGUGCCUUUAUAUUUGUGUCUGUUUUCCUGACGCCACUGCCUUCAGUGCCUGUUUCUGUUGACUACACAAAUCCACUCUGUUGGCUGCUGGAUCCCGCUUUGGUCCCCACAUGAACUCUAGAAAACAACUCUGUGCUGCUGCUAUCUGCAUGGAUUCACCUGCCACACCUCGGACAGAUGGACACGCUUGGCAAUGAAUGCAGCCACCCGGGCCCUGCCCAGGCACUGCACCUGCCAUGUGCCUUGGGGAAUCCCUUUCCCGGUCCCUUUAUCCAUCAACACCUGCCCAAGAGCUUACAACAAACCAGUUGGAGUCAGAGACAAAGAUGAUUCACCCUUUUGCAGACAUCUAAAGUGUGAAAUCGGGAUGAUCUUGUCUUAUACAUGAAGCGAUGAGUAAGAGCAUCUAUGGAGGGAAAGGUAGUACUUGUCAUGAGCAUCACUCCUACAGCUGAGGGAAAGAAACAAGCCUUUUCAGGGAGUUUUAAAUUUUGAAUCCAGACCUAAAAGUCAUGUUCAUGUGUAUCUAUUUCAAUAUAAUAAGAAGAUGCCAGUUAAUUUCAGGUCUUUUGUCUGGGGGGAGGUAAGAACUGGGAAGUUAUUAUAACCCACCCUUUGUGGUGUCAUUCAACCUGCCAAACCACAAUAUGUCUGGGUAGCUCCACAUAAACACCACUGAGUCAAAUCAAAGAUUAUAUUUGGUCUCUAACAAGUCUGUUUCAUUUUCUAAUUUUGUGACAUGAGCUACACUGGUGCCUAAGUGGGAAGCAAACAUGAUGAGUAUAUAAACAAAAUAGGGAAUAUGAGUCAGAUACAGCAUUCAAGUCACUGGAAACAAGCCACAUACUCUCAGGAUUGUGAUUGUGAGGAUCAGCAAGUUUUGGUGGGCCCUGUGCUAGGGAUGCAUCUAGUAGAGAAGACCUUGCAAGGGUCUUGCAUGGUGGUCAAAACGGCAGAAGUCACAGACCAGUAUGGUCACUAGAAGAAGGCUUUGCCAUACGGCAUUUUGUGCCUAGUGUACAGAAAGGACAAGAAAUAUGUCACUUUUUCAAAAUCUAACACUGGUGCUUUUUUUCUCCUCCCACAAAAUGCCCUUUGUGGAACAUGCAGUCAUGAGCCUUACUAAUUGGCUUCAUCUCGAGGAUAAAGAUUUCCUUUCUGGAACCAGUUGGCAAAUAUUCUCCUGAAUUUGUCUCUCUAAUUUGGACAAGCAACUCUUCUCUUUCCUCAGGUUGUUUGGGAUGUAAGUUUUCCUACUUAGCCUUGAGGGCUUUAACAGAUUUUAGGGGCUCCUUCUUCUGAAGGAGAAGUGAAGUGACAUUUUAAUUAAGAGGAGAUAAUAACUCCGUGAGAACUAAAGCCGGAUCCCACUUUUGUCUUCAGUCCAGCUAAUGACCAACCACCCCCCUUAGUCCUGCCUGUGGGAAGGAAGUCCCAGUGUCUGGAAACUGGCAGACCAGGGGCCCUGAGUUCACGGUGGUGAGAGCAAUGUUGGCAAAUUAAUCUCAUUUUCUUGACUUCCUGCUGAAAAUUGCAAUCUAAACUUUUGAACGUUGUUACUAGUUGGCUGGUUCUUCUCCCUGACACUUCCUUGUCCAUUUCAUUUUAACAAUCUUUGUUGUUUUUUUUUUGGUUUUUUUUUCAGGGAAAAAUCCUUUCUUGGCAGCUGUAACUAUUGCAAGAACUACUGAGCAACAUGUUUUUAUCUAGACAGCUGACCAAGACAGGUUAAUUGGUGCUAUUUCUGUAUGCCUGUAUAAAAAAUUGUUUGCCAUGCCUUUGCCCUUUUGAAUGAAUACAGUUAUAGGUGCAUAGGUUUUUCCUUAAUGACCAUACAUGGAUUCAAAUUAGAUUAGAUAAAGAUGAUUUCAGGCUAUUUUUUCUCUUGUUCAGCCACUGGUGUCUGUCCUGAUCAUCUAGCUGUAAUUUGUUCAGAAGCAUUAUUUCAGGCAUCUCUUCAAUAAAUGUGAUCAUUUUCAGUUAAUGUGUUUCUUCUUGAUGAUAUAAAGCCAAAGUCUGUUAUCAGACAUAGACCACCAAACUGAAUGGGUCAAAAGCAUAAGCCUAUUGAUUGUGCAGGAAAACAGCAUAUUUGAAGGGUUGAACAUGAGUAACUAGGGCUUCCAAAUCCCAGUGUAGCUGUGAAACAUGACCCCAGCAAUAUAAGAACAUUUUGUCCCCUCUUUGGCUUGAGGAAGGUGAUAAAAGGUAAAAAGGCAUUUGAACCGGACUCCAGCCCAUUCCUAAGUCAAGAGCUGCCUCUGGCUUCUGGGGUUCAGGACAGCAAAUCUCAUUCAGUGCCAGGAGCAGAGAAAGCAAAACUGACUAUUAUCUGUCAUUUCAUUGCCUUUGUGCUUUGUGGCCUGAAUCUCACAAAGCCCAUUGCAAGGAGCACACUGAGACCUCUUACCCAUCACGACCACCCUUGAGACAUUGUUGAACUUUAUUGCAGAAGAGUCUAAGGAGACACUGAGCCCAUCAGCUGCUUCCCCUGGCUCAGUGUACAGUCUUUUCAUACUGUUCUUUUAUGAGUUUGUGGCUGUUGCUAUCUCCCCAUUGAACAGCACUUCUUUGGUAUGAAACUGCUAUCAACAGUGACAGUUAUGAUUACCAUCUUCGCUUCUUUUGAUUAUUUCUAUUACUCCACUAUUUCUUCACCUGUCAUGGCUUACUAAUAGAGUAUGCACCUCUGUUUUGGGUCAAGUCUGCCUGUCUUCAGUCCUUCUCCAUGACAAUCACAAUCUAUCUUAAACCAGACUUGAAAUGUGUAAUAGAAGUUGAAACAUUUAUUUGAAAACACUUUUAUUGUGCUGGUCUUAUUACACAGAAUUAGAGGAAAAAACAAAUCACCAAAACUCAGAGCUAACACAAUUCCUCUGGUAGUUAGAAUUUGAAAGCUAAGCAAUUAGAAUAGCUGACACAGAUAUCCUUGACAAAAGUCAGAUUUAUUUGUCUAGCUAAGUGCUACAAUGCAAAGAUUUUAAAACCGAUGUUCUUCUUGAGUUCAGUGCAAGAAGUUCUAGUUAGAGAGACUAGGAGGUCCUCCGUAUACCGUAUAGAGCCCAUGCCAUUAUGUUACAACAGGGCUAGAGAGACUGUCAGAGCUGUUCAAGGAUGAACAUGAUGAACAAAAGGGUGAGGCUGUUGCAGACAAGGAUGCUCCAUGAUCCUGCUCUUCUUUUUGUCUCUUCUCACAAAAAUGCACAAACAUUAGAUAAGAACUGCUGACAAGUGCAAAAAGAAAACCACCUAGGUGGCAAGGAAUGAAGAGAAAUAUGAGAAGGAGAAGGGGAAGCUAGACUCACAAAAUCUGAAUUGUGCAUUGUAGAGUGAUUGCACAGGGUGAGGAGAGAGACUUGAUGGGAGAUUAUAAACACAUCACAUCAGCAGCAGUGAAAGAGGGAAUCAGAAGACAGUAAAACAAAAAGAAAUAACUGGUGCCAAGGACAAAUUAGUUUUGCAGCUCUCUACCACCAGUCGUGGAUGCCCCAGGAGCAGGAAAGCAGGAUGGAAUCCUUCUCGUCAGCCUGUCAGACACAUGAAGCGGGGACACCUUCGCAGCCCAGCGGUGGUCCUGGCAGCUCUCCUUGCUAUAGUGACACUGGCAGCGUGUGUGGCUCCAUUACUGACCGGGAGCCACUGGAUGCGC